AUGUACUUCUUGAUGUCUUCUGAAUGUAUUGUUAAAUACUGUUAUUUUUUGAAUCUAGGAAGAUUCAGAUCAACUUCACCACAAGAAGAAAAUUCAGAUAUCUUUGGACUGCUGAGGUCUGACAUUCCCAAACCUAAACUUCCAUUUAGUGAGAAAUUCACUCACAAUCUUCACAUUCAAGAACAUUUGACACUACAUUACUGUAGCAGCAUGAACAUGUACACCAAAAGAAGAGAUGUCUUCAGUAAUUUCCCAAGAAUCUAGAGUACUCUGAGGUGAUUAAACAGCGAAUGGUGAUUAUUUUGCUGGCUAGAUAUGGUUUUCCUGGAAGCUCUCUGUAUCUUAAGAAGUUUGAAUGCUUGGUGCUUUAUAGAUCCCAUACCCAAAGGACCUUCUCUUAAAGUCAAAAUGUCAGAGUAUUCAAGGAUUUAAAUGAUCUUGCUGAUAGAUUAUCACAUUUAAAUUUUUUUUUUUUUUUCCUUUUCACAUGCUAGGAAUAAGACAAUUGCAAUUUUUCCAUGUCUGGUCCCUCAAACCAUUAUUUGCAUUUUUGUAGCUUACUGUAAGUUGUUGGAAUAAAAGUUGAAUAGUUUCUAAUGCCCCGCCUCUG
rnacentral:lncRNA from 1 species